AUCAUCUUUGUAAGCACUGGGAGGCUGUGUUCUUAUACUUACUGUACAUAAAGAGGAGGCAAAGUAAACACACCUAAUACAUACCUCAGCCUGGACCCUUUAUCUGGCCUGUACUGUGAACAGGGGGACAUAG